GGCUGUGUGAUAUAGAAUAUGAAUGAUCCUUCUCUUCUUAUGUGUAUUCUGAGCAUUGUUGUAGAGACUCCAGCACGCUAAGGUUAUGAGUGCACAUUAUCUUGCGUGCGACUGUGUUAACCUUGGGGAGCAAACCCGGCACUGGAUUGCACCAAGGUCUGCCGGAAUUUUGCUUUCAAGGCAGUGGUUCGUCCACGGCGCAACUUUCCUUCUCUAAUUUCCAACAAUUUGAAAGCAAAAGUUUACUUUACUCUUGUUGGUGUCGAUGGCGAGCUGCUCAACAAAAUUAGGAAGUUGGGAAGCAAAUGACUUGAAAGAUAAGUAUCUCUUUGUUUCUUUCAUAAAAUAAUUCAAAUGCUCAGAAUGAGAAGAUGGAGAUGCAUUCUAAUUAUGUUCAUCUUCUCUACUUUUUGUAUGGAAGAGUGGUUUGUGAUGCCUGUGGGGGUUCUUCCCUUGGACAUGAAGACCUGGUCUUUUAAGGCAUCUGUGUAAGCGUCACUACCAUAAUGAGAAAAAUGGCCUUGGGCAAUGGCAUGUGAAACUAUGCUUCGAUGUAAGUUUGUGCUUGAGUUUCUGAUUCACAAGAAGCAAUUGAAGUUGGCAUCGACGAUGCUUGCAACAGAGAGAAAAGACAUAUACAUGUCAUGCAUGUUGCUAAGAAGUUGAUUAAGACUUGUUUGAUUUUCCUUGAGUAUGUAAGAAGAUAAAAGAGUCUUGUUGAUCUUCUUGCUAAAGGAUUGACCAAGAAAGUUGUCUUGGAUACAUCGAGGGGGAUGAGGCUUAAGCCUCCAGAAAGAAGAAAGUAUGGUGGAUACCCAAUUUGUUGGUCAAGCUAAGCCAUAUGAUUACUCUUAUGCAUUACAUUCUCAUCCCUAUGACGCGAGGUAAUGCUAUUUUUGAAAGAGAUACAUAGUCAUUUGUGGUGGUGCUAUUGAGACGCACUUGAUGUAUCUAAAGUGCUUUUGAGACGCACUUGACUUGAUUUUCAAAUAAAAUUAUAAAAUAGUUUAUUCA